rnacentral:misc_RNA from 1 species
AAGUCGUAACAAGGUUUCCGUAGGUGAACCUGCGGAAGGAUCAUUAUCACGUAUCCACGUUUAUCAACCAUUGUGAACUGUUUCUAACCUCUGAUGUUUUACUUAUAAAGGUAAUGUUUUGUACUGUGAUGAAAGAGUGAAGAGUUUUUAAGUUCGCUUAAUUCCUCUUCCCCACAAACAUUACUGGAACAUCGGAGUGUAUUUUUUUUUUUUACUCUUUCAUUCAUAUUCACCUUUUAAACCAUAAUACUAUUAAAUCUUUAUGAACUGAUAUAAAAUUUCUUACUCUUUUCUUUUUUGAGAGAGAGAAGAAAUUUCAUUACGAAACUAAACGAACAACUCUUAGCAACGGAUAUCUUGGUUCUC